rnacentral:rRNA from 1 species
AGUGAACGCUGGCGGUAGGCCUAACACAUGCAAGUCGAACGGCAGCACAGUAAGAGCUUGCUCUUACGGGUGGCGAGUGGCGGACGGGUGAGGAAUACAUCGGAAUCUACUUUUUCGUGGGGGAUAACGUAGGGAAACUUACGCUAAUACCGCAUACGACCUACGGGUGAAAGCAGGGGAUCUUCGGACCUUGCGCGAUUGAAUGAGCCGAUGUCGGAUUAGCUAGUUGGCGGGGUAAAGGCCCACCAAGGCGACGAACCGUAGCUGGUCUGAGAGGAUGGUCAGCCACACUGGAACUGAGACACGGUCCAGACUCCUACGGGAGGCAGCAGUGGGGAAUAUUGGACAAUGGGCGCAAGCCUGAUCCAGCCAUACCGCGUGGGUGAAGAAGGCCUUCGGGUUGUAAAGCCCUUUUGUUGGGAAGGAAAAGCAGCAGGUUAAUACCCCGCUGUUCUGACGGUACCCAAAGAAUAAGCACCGGCUAACUUCGUG